rnacentral:rRNA from 1 species
CCAUGCGAGUCUUUGUAGUAAUACAAGGCAGACGGCUCAGUAACACGUAGUCAACCUACCCUAUGGACAAGAAUAAUCUCGGGAAACUGGGCAUAAUUCUUGAUAGAUCAUAAUGCCUGGAAUGGCUUAUGGUUAAAAUGAUUCGUCGCCAUAGGAUGGGACUGCGGCCUAUCAGCUUGUUGGUGAGGUAAUGGCCCACCAAGGCGAUUACAGGUACGGGCUCUGAGAGGAGAAGCCCGGAGAUGGGUACUGAGACACGGACCCAGGCCCUAUGGGGCGCAGCAGGCGAGAAAACUUUGCAAUGUGCGAAAGCACGACAAGGUUAAUCCGAGUGAUUUCUGCUAAAGAAAUCUUUUGCCAGUCGUAAAACCGCUGGUGAAUAAGGGGUGGGCAAGUUCUGGUGUCAGCCGCCGCGGUAAAACCAGCACCUCAAGUGGUCAGGAUGAUUAUUGGGCCUAAAGCAUCCGUAGCCGGCUUUGUAAGUUUUCGGUUAAAUCCAUGUGCUCAACGCAUGGGCUGCCGAAAAUACUGCAUAGCUAGGGAGUGGGAGAGGUAGACGGUACUCAGUAGGUAGGGGUAAAAUCCUUUGAUCUAUUGAUGACCACCUGUGGCGAAGGCGGUCUACCAGAACACGUUCGACGGUGAGGGAUGAAAGCUGGGGGAGCAAACCGGAUUAGAUAUCCGGGUAGUCCCAGCUGUAAACGAUGCAGACUAGAUGAUGCAUUGGCAUAAUAGCCAUUGCAGUGUCUCAGGGAAGCCGUUAAGUCUGCCGCCUGGGAAGUACGUACGCAAGUAUGAAACUUAAAGGAAUUGGCGGGGGAGCACCACAAGGGGUGAAGCCUGCGGUUCAAU